UCCCUGGUGGCUCAGAGGCUAAAGCCUCUGCCUGCAAUGCAGGAGACCUGGGUUCGAUCCCUGGGUCGGGAA
rfam:Ovis aries breed Texel chromosome 10, whole genome shotgun sequence.